CGCGUAGGUGGCCUUCUUAGUCAGACGUGAAAUCCCCAGGCUUAACCUGGGAACUGCGUCUGAUACUGGAAGGCUCGAGUUCGGGAGAGGAAUGUGGAAUUCCAGGUGUAGCGGUGAAAUGCGUAGAUAUCUGGAGGAACACCGGUGGCGAAGGCGGCAUUCUGGACCGAAACUGACGCUGAGGCGCGAAAGCCAGGGGAGCAAACG
rnacentral:rRNA from 1 species